rnacentral:rRNA from 1 species
UACGUAAGGGGCAAGCGUUGUCCGGAAUCAUUGGGCGUAAAGCGCGUGUAGGCGGCCCGAUAAGUCCGCUGUGAAAGUCCAGGGCUCAACCCUGGGAUGCCGGUGGAUACUGUCGGGCUCGAGUCCGGAAGAGGAGUGUGGAAUUCCUGGUGUAGCGGUGAAAUGCGCAGAUAUCAGGAGGAACACCAAUGGCGAAGGCAGCACUCUGGGACGUGACUGACGCUGAGACGCGAAAGCGUGGGGAGCAAACAGG